rnacentral:rRNA from 1 species
GUAGGUGGCAAGCGUUGUCCGGAUUUAUUGGGUUUAAAGGGUGCGUAGUGGUCUAUUAAGUCAGUGCUGAAAUAUCCCGGCUUAACCGGGAGGGUGGCAUUGGUACUGAUGGACUUGAGUGGAGUUGAGGUAGGCGGAAUUGACGGUGUAGCGGUGAAAUGCUUAGAUAUCGUCAAGAACACCGAUAGCGAAGGCAGCUUACUAAGCUCUAACUGACACUGAUGCACGAAAGUGUGGGGAUCAAACAGGAUUAGAUACCCUGGUAGUCCACACUGUAAACGUUGAUUACUCGAUGUUGGCGAUACACAGUCAGCGUCUUAGCGCAAGCGAUAAGUAAUCCACCUGGGGAGUACGCCGGCAACGGUG